CUGCAAACGCACUAUAACAAACAAUUUGAGCCAUGCCUCCAAGACCAAGAGUGGCAAUCAGACAAGCCCGAAAAUUAAUUUGUCCAGCCGAACGAAAUAUGCUUUGCGAAAUGUACAAUUUUGACUGGCACGCAGCUCGAGUAUAGGUUUUCUAUCUAUACAAAUUGUUCUUUGUACUAAUAGUAAAGACUAAAGACAAAUUCCAUUGGGCAGAUUAACAGUGGGUUGCGAGCAUAAUCUGUCAAAAUGACUAUCUGCAUAUAGUAAUGAUUUAUUACCUAUAUUUCAUGACCAUGCAAAUUACAAAACAAAUAACUCAGGACAUCAUAUUUAGCAUACAAGAAAGGUAAUGCAACAGCCAAUCGAAUCUUGCUAUUUUGCGUUAAGACAGCCAAUAAGAAACAGUGAUUUUGCGUGUCUUUCGUCGAGUUAAUGAUAUUAAUGAGGCUUUGCGUCCCUAGAUGCAGGUCAACUAACAAAACCUAACAUUAAUUGGACCUGCAACAUUGUCAAUACUCUACUGUUCAAAACAUAAGAAAGCAAGCUCAUUUGUUAACGAAAUUUAAGAUUUCAAACUCUGCACAUAUAUAUUUAUCUACAUUUGCGAUAAGUCGGCAAGAUGGAUAUCAUGAAAGAUUGGUACGUCACUAACAUUACAAUGCAUGCCUACGCUCAUGAAAAUUGAAAAUCCGUUGAUGUACUAUCAUUUAACUGCAUGAUAUAUUUAAUCUACCAAAUACAUAUUUUACAAUUUCUGCUAAUAUCAUGAAUGCAUGAUUGGAUGUUCGAUCACAACACUGGUUAUAAGCACCUGAAUUGCAUUUUGGCCCUGCUAUUUCGAAUUAAACUAAUGAACAAGCUAUUUUUCUGAGAGUAAUGCCACGCAACUCAGGAAAGUUCCACCAAUCAUAAUUGAAAUAAAAUAAGAGUGGUUAACAAAUAAAUGUUGUGCAAAACGUCUUAAUGAACACAUUAACAUUUAAAAAAAUAUAUAAAUAAAUAAAUAUGUGCCUUGAUGGUGAGCUUUGUUUGUCGUGUUACCAACCCUCCAAUUAAGAACUUGUAAGAUAGAAGCUUUGUGGGGAAGCUGCUGGUUGUCUUGGCCCCAUCCAGGUUUCCUGUAUAUUCCAGGUUUGUUUCUGGCCUCCCUGAUUAUCCAGCUAUAGUAUGAGUGAUGGUAACGCUCAAAUAUAUGUCUAACUGUCAUCUGGCAGCAGCUGUCUUGCAACUCUAUCUGGGGUAUCAGCCGCUUUGACAGAUGUGCUAACCGCUAAGUAACUAACAACGUUUCGGGGGGAGGGUUCGUCUAUUGGGAAUACACAUUCUGUGUAUUUGUGGGGAUGAAGUCUCCAUAAAAUGUCAACUUCAGGCCCAUAGACUCAAUAUAUGUC